ensembl:lncRNA
CCUCAUGCAGUCUUAGGUGGGGCUCUUUUGGAAUCUAGAGUGCAAUUGAUUCACGGUGCAAUGUUAGGCCUGAGGGCUCUAGGACUAAGGGUAUGAGUGCUACUUGCCCUAAGUAGUCUUAAUAAGAUAAAAGGGGCAGAAAGCCACUGUUACCUUUUGCUACCCUGUGGAUGCCAUUAACUGUUUCUCCUUUGGGAUGCAUCUGCCAUGUGCCACUCUGCCUUGGAGCCAGCUGAUUAUGGAUUGUCCUCUACAAACUGAGGGAUUGAACUCAGGACCUUGUGCUUGCAUGGCAUGUACCGGAACCACUGAGCUAAAUCCCUGGCCCUCGGCAUCUGAGUUUUGACAGAGAAGCCAAAAAUAUAUGCUGGAAGACAGAUAGCCUCUUUAUUUAACAAAUGAUGCUGGGAAAACUAGGUAUCCACAUGCCGAAGAUUGAAUCUAGACCCAUAUAUCUCACAAUCUACUAAAUGAAAAUCAAAAUGGAUCAAAUAUGCUCCUGGGAUCAAGGCAAUGCCAAACCAAUCAGUCGACCGAUUUAGUAAUCACAUACCCUUAAUCCCAACAUCACACACCCUAGAUCCAGCCAUCUCUGAAAAAGCCCCAUCUAAGACCGCAUGAGGUGUUGGGGCUACAUCUAGACACAAGCCAAAACAGCAUAUGAAAAGAGUUAAGAUGUUUUAUGUAUGCAUGCUGACUCCCUGUGUUGAAUAUAACCAUUGUAUACUGCAUAUAUGUACUACUAGUAAAGUUUAAAAAUCAGUAUGUAUGAAUCCUCAAAUGAAACAUUUUGAUUAUGAGAAAACUUCCCAGAGUAGUUCAGGGUUAAAAGGAAGCCCAUGUUUAGGAAUACAUCAAAAUUAUGAAAAUUUUAAAAACAAAAAGAUUACUGGAUGAAUACACCACCCACACUGGCAACACAAAGGAGUAAAAGAGAAGAUACAGAUAAGCAGAACACCAAAAGAAGGGAAACUACUACAGACUGAACGAAGGUGAGGAACAUUCAUUGGAGGAGGUGUCCCCAAAAAGAGGUGGCCUGGCAUGGGUAUCCGAGUCCCAGCAGUGAGGACAGCUCCAUGCAGAGGGGAGAGGUGGUCCCUGUGGAGUGGGAGGCUUCUCACAUGCCAGGGGGAUUGGUUAAUAUGGAACUGAACCAGAGCAAUGAAAGCCAGGACCCUCAAUGUCAGGAAAGGUUAAUACAAAUAGAGAAAUGGAAAUAAAACAAGAUCGAACUCUGGAAUUGGGAUUGGUCACAUCAAUAUGAACUCUUUUGUUUUUUAAUAUAGAUAGACAGAUAUAGAACAUCUUAUUAGAAUUUAUCCAGGAAUGAAAGAAUGGUGCAGUAUUGGUGGCUCUUACUACACUGAAUUAAAGUAGAACUUUAAUGAAAUUUAAUUAUUGCAAUGAAAUGUUAUUUAAAAUAAUUUUUUAGAAGUCAGAAUAUUAAAAAUAGAAAGGAAAUAAGAGUAAUUUAAUGAAACGAGGAGAAAAAUGUAGAGCAAAUACUACAGUGG